AACGCAAAUUGCGCCUUUUUCGGAAGGCAUGUCUGUUUGAGGGCACCAUUUAACAAAUAAUGUGCAAUUUCUUUUUUUUUGUGUGCACACGUUGAUGGGCUUUCCAAGAAAAAUUUAUUUUUUUUGGUGGCGCAUAAUGAACAGCGCGAAAGCUUUUUUUUCAGUUCGAGUGUAGUAAAAUCUUUGCUUGAGUUGUGAAAAGCAUAGUAGCGCAAUGGGUGUGGCAAUUUCUUCCUUGCCCCAAUGCCACUCUUUCUCGCGAAAAGAAGGUCUAAUCUUCAGGGCCUCAAAUCAGACAAGAGUACCCGCUGAACUUAA
rnacentral:misc_RNA from 1 species